rnacentral:rRNA from 1 species
GACAGAGGGUGCAAACGUUGUUCGGAAUUACUGGGCGUAAAGCGCGUGUAGGCUGCUCUGCAAGUCGGAUGUGAAAGCCCUGGGCUCAACCUAGGAAGUGCACUCGAAACUGCAGAGCUGGAGUCCUGGAGAGGAAGGCGGAAUUCUCGGUGUAGAGGUGAAAUUCGUAGAUAUCGGGAGGAACACCAGUGGCGAAGGCGGCGAUCUGGGAAGAUACUGACGCUGAGGUGCGAAAGCGUGGGGAGCAAACAGG